CUCCUAACUGACCUUGGUGCUUCCCCGUGUGGCUCUGUGUGGCGUGGCAGGCGGUGUCCCCUCCUCCUGGGAACUGCUUCCACUGAGUGACUCAGCGAUCCAGUCUGCUUUCAUAGGUGGCUCUAAUGAGGCAGAAAUUUAAAAAUAAAUAUGCAUUCAUUCACUCCAAGAAAAGUAACAGGCAAGGGUUCACAAGAAAAAAAGAAGUUUUCCUCUGCCUAGCAAGCACACUUCAAGGACAGUUAUAAGAUAAUGCUGUACGAGCAGCCAAGGCCAAAGGAAUGGGCUUCAGACACCCCUCUCCCCCAGAGCAAUGUUGAAGGAAAAAAAAAGAGAAAAAGAUAAAUUACUUUACUGUUACUCCUUUCCCAGGCUUCUUAAACGUGAUUAUGUUUUACAAAUGUCUGUAUUUAGCCAGUUCUUGUUUUUCUUUUGACGCAGCUACAAGGCCACAAAUUAUACACUAUAUGAUUAACUGCUUUUGUUUUACUUUUGUAAGUCUGCUUAUAAAAACCCCACUCAGUCGUUGUUCAAUGCUCAGCUUUUUGGAUGCGAAUCCACUGAGCCAGUGCGUACCUAAAAUAAACAAUCCUCC
rnacentral:lncRNA from 10 species